rnacentral:rRNA from 1 species
AGGAUGAACGCUGGCGGCGUGCUUAACACAUGCAAGUCACGGGGGCCCAGCAAUGGGUAACCGGCGAACGGGUGCGUAACACGUGAGCAACCUACCGAAAUGAGGGGGAUAGCCGGCCCAACGGCCGGGUAAUACCGCAUACGCUCGAGACCAGGCAUUUGGACUCGAGGAAACCUCCGGGGCAUUUCGAGGGGCUCGCGGCCUAUCAGCUAGUUGGUGAGGUAACGGCUCACCAAGGCGACGACGGGUAGCUGGUCUGAGAGGAUGGCCAGCCACAUUGGGACUGAGAUACGGCCCAGACUCCUACGGGAGGCAGCAGUGGGGAAUCUUGCGCAAUGGCCUAACGGCUGACGCAGCGACGCCGCGUGAGGGAUGACGCUCUUCGGAGUGUAAACCUCUUUUGCCUGAGACGAAUUGCCAGCUUCAGCUGGUUUGACUGUAUCGGUGAAUAAGCACCGGCUAACUCCGCGCCAGCAGCCGCGGUAA